rnacentral:lncRNA from 1 species
ACUCAUUCAUUAAAAAACUCGUUAUAAACAAGUUUGUGGUUAUGAUUGUUUUCGUUGAUUUUUGUGGCGAAAAAUGGGUUUAUUUCACCCCCUUUAUACAUAUACAUAUAAAAAAAGUUGUUUUUAAUAAGAAUUGGGUCAAUUAGGAGAUCUUAAAUAGUGGAGGAGUAAAAUAUGGUGAAAAUUGAGAAAAAAUUUUAAGGUUAAGAAAGAAGAAUUUAUCUUUGCAAAUUAAGUCGGAUAAAGAAAAUGGAGCAACUUUUUUCUUGUGUAUUUCGAAGAAUCUUUAGAAGAAAAUUAAUUGAAGAAUUAAGAUGAAGAAAAGAACGUUUAAUUUUAUGGAAAACAACAUUAAAACAAGGUUGGUAGCCCUUCAGAUCAGCUGUCAUGUCAUCCCUUUAGUUUAUUUCUAUCUUGUCAUUGUUAAAUUUGUGUUGGUUUUUAUAUUUUUCAUCAUUUCGCCGCUUUAUUUUAUUUAAACGCUGCAUAUUUUAAUCGGAGUUACUUACUUUGAAGUAUUUCGAAGAAUCUUUAAAAGAAAAUUAAUUGAAGAAAUAAUUUUAUGGAAAUCAACAUUAAAGCAAGAAACACCUGUAUAAGGAGCUCUUGGUGCCAACAUUAAAGAAUUCCAUGGAAAAGUUUCUUGGAUUUACUGGAUUUUCUAAUAAUUAUUAUUAAUUUAAUGUAAUUUUGCAAUCAGCAACACAAUAUACGACUGUGUAUGCUUGGUUGCAUAUUUCAUAAAUAAGAAAAUUAAUAAAAUGUAUUGUUAAAUAUUAA